rnacentral:rRNA from 1 species
GGCCGCGGGAAUUCGAUUCACCCAUAACACAUGCAAGUCGAGCGACCAAUAAAAAAAAGAGCGGCGAACGGGUGAGUAACACGUAGGUGAUCUGCCCAUCAGACGGGGACAACGAUUGGAAACGAUCGCUAAUACCGGAUAGGAUGAAAGUUUAAAGGUGCUCCUGGCACCGCUGAUGGAUGAGCCUGCGGCGCAUUAGCUAGUUGGUAGGGUAAAGGCCUACCAAGGCGACGAUGCGUAGCCGACCUGAGAGGGUGAACGGCCACACUGGGACUGAGACACGGCCCAGACUCCUACGGGAGGCAGCAGUAGGGAAUCUUCGGCAAUGGGCGAAAGCCU